AUCGCUUCUCGGCCUUUUGGCUAAGAUCAAGUGUAGUAUCUGUUCUUAUCAGUCACAGAAAGAGCUGGGGGAGGCUUGACUCCCGCCUCCCACUCACU
rnacentral:snRNA from 1 species